UACGAAGGGGGCUAGCGUUGCUCGGAAUGACUGGGCGUAAAGGGCGCGUAGGCGGUUUGCACAGUCAGAUGUGAAAUUCCCGGGCUUAACCUGGGGGCUGCAUUUGAUACGUGUGGGCUUGAGUGCGGCAGAGGAGACUGGAAUUCCUGGUGUAGCAGUGAAAUGCGUAGAUAUCAGGAGGAAUACCGAUGGCGAAGGCAGGUCUCUGGGCUGACACUGACGCUCAUGCACGAAAGCGUGGGGAGCAAACAGG
rnacentral:rRNA from 1 species